rnacentral:sRNA from 1 species
AUAUCUCUCUGUACGGGAAGGAUGAGAAGGUUCGAUUCGAGCGUCAGCGAGAAAGCGUUGCCGCAGGCAACGACCCGAAGGGCGAAGCGCG